CCUCUCCCGGAGACCUCGGUUUUGCACAAGCCGGCCUUGAAAUCAGAGCCUUUCGAGCAGCUCGGAGAGCGUGUGCUCGGCGACCGCGGACUUGGCCAGCGGCGCGCGCUCGGCGCCCGGCGCCCCCAGCCCCACGCGCGCCGGGCGGGCGCCAUGGAGGAGGGCUCCAGCUCGCCCGUGUCCCCCGUAGACAGCCUGGGCACCAGCGAGGAGGAGCUCGAGCGGCAGCCCAAGCGCUUCGGCCGGAAACGGCGCUACAGUAAGAAGUCGAGCGAAGAUGGCAGCCCGACCCCCGGCAAGCGCGGCAAGAAGGGCAGCCCGAGCGCGCAGUCCUUCGAGGAGCUGCAGAGCCAGCGCAUCCUGGCCAACGUGCGCGAGCGCCAACGCACCCAGUCGCUCAACGAGGCCUUCGCUGCGCUGCGCAAGAUCAUCCCCACGCUGCCCUCGGACAAGCUCAGCAAGAUCCAGACGCUCAAGCUGGCCGCCAGGUACAUAGACUUCCUCUACCAGGUCCUGCAGAGCGACGAGAUGGACAAUAAGAUGACCAGCUGCAGCUACGUGGCCCACGAGCGCCUCAGCUACGCUUUCUCCGUGUGGCGCAUGGAGGGCGCGUGGUCCAUGUCCGCCUCCCACUAGCGCCGCGCCACCCACGUCCGGACCGGCGCGCCAGGUGAACUAUGAACUGGUUGAGGACAAGGGAGCAGGCCCUCCUCAUCAUUACAUGCCAACGUCCAGCAGGAUGCCUGAUGCCAGAAACCCUUCAGUUAAUAUCCUCUCGAGCUGGUGCUGCCGUCACUGGGACACUUGUGUCUUCAGAUACUCCUUUGUCAAAUGUGCAGAGACAUUUAUUCACUCGGUGCCCCCAGGUUUGGACCCGAGUGAAGGGUGUUGCGGGCAUGGAGUCGGUCGUGGGAGAGGAGGGAUUUCCGGCCCAGGGCUUAGCUGACCUGAGUUCUGCUGGUGAUUCUGUACCUGCCUGGUGACUUGGGAUAAGUCACCCCCAACCCCAGGCCCCCAUCUCCUCACCUCCGAAAUGAUGUCAUUGGAUGGACCAUCCUUAAAGGCACUUCCUGCACCUCCAGCCUGAAAUGGGGCGCCUGCAGGGUGACUGUUUACUCCACCCUCUAACACUCGGGAGUUUUACUUGGAAGCUGAAUGUAGUGACAUCUGGAGAAAUCAUAAUUCACCGGUUAAACUAGUUCCUGGGUUUGGAGGCCUGUGGACCCGGAAGAGGCUGUAUCCUCCUCGUCUCUGGUAACUCGGGACUGCUCGCCCUCACUGUCUCUGCAACGUGGGAGGACCCUUUGCAGCGUCUCGUGUCUCGUGACUCAUGGAGAAGAAAUGGGACGGUCUCCCUCCGCGGCAGGGCUGAGGAUGGGUCUGCGGGAACCCCUGGCCUUCCUGUCGCAGCUCCCCUGGGAACUGAGCAGGGCUGGCCCUGGGGAGUCUUGGGCUGCCGGGGGUGGGCUCUGCAGGGCGCUGUCUCCAGGCAGUGACAUUGGGAGGCACCAAGUAGGAGGGACCUGCCUGGACACCCAGAGGCAAGCAUGCCCCCUCCCCAGCCUGUUCUCAGGGCCACUUCCCCAUGGCAGACAGGUCACUGCAGACAUAGCCUGAGUCACUGAAGCCAAGCCCAAGCCGGGGCCGGGGGAGAGAUAGAGAGAGAGAGAGAGGGAGGGAGGGGGAGAGAGCACUGUUUCCACUUCUAAGUGGACGUGAAGUUUGCGGUCCCCUGCAGGAGCAAGGCCAACAGCUCCCCUGCAAGCCACCAGGGAACCACAGAAAAGUCCUGGCAUCAUAAACGCGGUCAUUCCAAGGAGGAUUCCUCUUUCUCACGCACGGCGGGCUGGCUGGGGUCAGAUGUCUGAGUCGCGGAGCCUGGAGAGAGGGGCCACCUGUCCCCACCCUCCUCACCCUUCCACUGACCCCAGACCCUGAACAGGGCAGGGGCCCCUGGCAGGUGGCGUCUGCAAGCAGGGGGCUUGUCUGGGACACACAGAGGGGGCAGAGAGCACAGGGGGUGUUGGUGGCUCCAGCACAGACGGGAACGGCCCCUCUGGAACCCACAGUCUGCGCCGGUGUCCGGGCAGCAGUCCUGAAAGUCACACUCGAGCUGAACGCGCAGACUGUCCCGCGGGGCCGAGCGCACGUGGAACUGGGGUGCAUCCGAGUCUGUAACUUCUGAAACCCGAAUGACCUCCGGGAAACGCCCCCUCUCAGUGCUCCAGCACGGUGCCUAGACAAGGGCACAGCGACAGACCCCGGACCGCACGGCCCCCUCCAGGAGACGGUCCCCGCAGAGGAAGUGGCGCUCAUGGUCCUUCUUGCCGGUGACAUGUUCAUUGCCAUCCUCGCCACUGUUUGAGGGUGGGAACAGACCCAGGCCUGGGUUUUAUUUUUUUAUUUUUAUGUUUUGAGGGGGCGGGGAUUUAUUCUUUCUGAAAAUCGCUAAAUUCAGGAACACAUUUUACAAGGAUUUUGGAUUUGUAUUUCCCUCUAAGUGCCUUUUUUUCGUGUAUAUUUUAAAAAAUAAGCCAGAAAUGCCUUCCUGUACAAUUCUGUUUAAACUGGACCAAGGCUCUCAGAAAAAGAACCUCGUGCUUCCUUCCCACCCCCAAGCCCCUGCAUGAUUGUCUCAAGGAAGCCUGGAAUUCUUCUCACUUCUCCCCUUUCUCUUUCUCCAUGAUUUGCUCAGCUAACCUUUUUUUUUUUUUUUCUGUUUCAGUGUAUAUGUUGCUUAUUUGUUUUAUUUAUUGAGAUACUUUUAACAAGCUCAGUGACUGCACUGUGGCUCUCUAUACUGCUCCCUCCCAGGAACAAUA